GUUAUAACCAAUUCAGAAAGAGGAGAAGAAGGAAAGAUGUCACAGUACAGACCUUACCAUGGAAAUAAAGUGAGGGUGAAAAGAAAGAAAGAAAGAAAGAAAAAUGAUAAGGCUCUUGUGGGCUGAGUAUUUCUACAUAUCAGUUUUUCAAACCAGGUAUAAACCCGGACUGAUCCUCAUGGAUUAAUGCUGCGGGCACCCAGCGAGAUCAAGUACCCUCUCAUUGUGCAUUUAUGUGCUUUCUAUCUAAUAUGUUGAGAUGUGUCCUGUUCAGAGUUAUCAAUAAAAAAUUGUUUUAAGUUUUUAA